rnacentral:rRNA from 1 species
ACGUGAGUUGGGUUCAGAACGUCGUGAGACAGUUCGGUCCCUAUCUGCCGUGGGUGUAGGAAUAUUGAGAGGAUCUGUCCCUAGUACGAGAGGACCGGGAUGGACGUAUCUCUGGUGGACCUGUUGUGGCGCCAGCCGCAUAGCAGGGUAGCUAUAUACGGAACGGAUAACCGCUGAAGGCAUCUAAGCGGGAAACCGACCUCAAAACGAGUAUUCCCUGAGAGCCGUGGUAGACGACCACGUUGAUAGGCCGGGUGUGGAAGAGCGGCAACGCUUGAAGCUUACCGGUACUAAUAACUCGAUUGGCUUGAUUGUUCUCAUU